rnacentral:rRNA from 1 species
UACGGGGGGGGCAAGCGUUGUUCGGAAUUACUGGGCGUAAAGGGCUCGUAGGCGGCCCACUAAGUCAGACGUGAAAUCCCUCGGCUUAACCGGGGAACUGCGUCUGAUACUGGAUGGCUCGAGUUUGGGAGAGGGAUGCGGAAUUCCAGGUGUAGCGGUGAAAUGCGUAGAUAUCUGGAGGAACACCGGUGGCGAAGGCGGCAUCCUGGACCAACACUGACGCUGAGUGAGCGAAAGCCAGGGGAGCAAACGGG